rnacentral:lncRNA from 1 species
CAACGACGGGCAACUUCCUCUGACCCUUGACCAAUCUAAGACAUGGAGCCUUGAGGGCAACAAGGUGAUCCUAUGACAGAUAAGGCUGGGGUUCGAGAGGUAGAUCCUAAGACAGAGGUGGCUACACCCUGUUUAAACGUAUGGGUUGGUCAAAUGCUCCUCGGCCCAGUUUCUCCCCCAAUAAACACACACGUAUAGCCCAGUACGGUGUGUUACAGCAUAAGUUCAUUCCUAGCCAUUGGGGUGCAGUCCUAACUGCAAGAGUGGCUCGCCAUGGCCGAGCUGGGCACUCUGUGAGGCAUGUCUAAUCUCUCUUAGGCCACUACUUCCAGCUAAUGGUCUUUUAUAAAGAAAAAUGGGGGAAAUGUAGGGAGCCAUAUUGGAUUUGGGCCUGGCCACUUUUUGACUCCAUGGCGCAAAGUGGCUAGGUGACUCUGGGCUGUUUGGCCACAGAUAUUCACCCCUAAGAUGACUGCCAUGAAGUCUUGAGAUUGUUGGACAAAAGCCUCUCCCAUGAAUUUACAGCACAGGAAGAUAACAUUCAAGGGAUGCCUCAGCUUGAGCAGAUACCAGUUAUCUCCUGAGUCAACACCCGGUGUCUCCACCGCAUGACCUCAUCGUCUACCGCCUGACCUCUUUGCCUCCUGCUAUCACUGACUAUAUCCUCAUCCCUCCAUCCUUUGUGUUUCACAAAGGACACUCCCCCUACCUGAAAGCCUUAAAAGCUGGAACGUUCACCCCAAUAAAUGAGACCUUGACAAUAGAAUCUUGCUUGGUCUCCUUCUCCUCUCGCCCCCCAUAGGCCUAUGAGUAAGCAUACAUAUAAGACUACAACCAGCUGAGUCAUUUGUUGAUGUUGUUGCUGUUGUUAUUGUUGUUAUUGAUUGUGUGUAUAUAAUUUCAGGUGUGAUCACAAUGCAUUAAAUUGCCAAUUAGGGGGUUUAUUCUUCCAGUAGGCUGAUUCUCUGACUUGCAAAUGAAUGAAAGGACAGUAGGGGAAUAACCCUUCUAAUGACCUAGCAGCUUUGGAGAGGAAAUAUUAAAAAAAAAAAAAAAAAAAAA